rnacentral:rRNA from 1 species
GAUGAACGCUGGCGGCGUGCCUAAUACAUGCAAGUCGAGCGAACAGACGAGGAGCUUGCUCCUCUGACGUUAGCGGCGGACGGGUGAGUAACACGUGGAUAACCUACCUAUAAGACUGGGAUAACUUCGGGAAACCGGAGCUAAUACCGGAUAAUAUAUUGAACCGCAUGGUUCAAUAGUGAAAGACGGUUUUGCUGUCACUUAUAGAUGGAUCCGCGCCGCAUUAGCUAGUUGGUAAGGUAACGGCUUACCAAGGCAACGAUGCGUAGCCGACCUGAGAGGGUGAUCGGCCACACUGGAACUGAGACACGGUCCAGACUCCUACGGGAGGCAGCAGUAGGGAAUCUUCCGCAAAGGGCGAAAGCCUGACGGAGCAACGCCGCGUGAGUGAUGAAGGUCUUCGGAUCGUAAUACUCUGUUAUUAGGGAAGAACAAAUGUGUAAGUAACUAUGCACGUCUUGACGGUACCUAAUCAGAAAGCCACGGCUAACUACGUG